rnacentral:rRNA from 1 species
CCUACGGGAGGCAGCAGUGGGGAAUAUUGGGCAAUGGAGGCAACCCUGACCCAGCAACGCCGCGUGAAUGAUGAAGGUCUUCGGAUUGUAAAGUUCUGUGAUGGGGGAUGAACACAAUGACGGUACCCCACUAGCAAGCCACGGCUAACUACGUGCCAGCAGCAGCGGUAAUACGUAGGUGGCAAGAGUUAUCCGGGAUGACUGGGCGUAAAGGGUGCGUAGGUGGGUUAGUAAGUUGGCGGUGUAAUUCCGGGGCUCAACCUCGGCGCUACCGCGAAGACUAUUAGACUAGAGUGCGGGAGGGGUAAGUGGAAUUCCUGGUGUAGCGGUGGAAUGCGUAGAUAUUAGGAAGAACAUCAGGGGCGAAGGCGACUUACUGGACUGUAACUGACACUGAGGCACGAAAGCGUGGGGAGCAAACAGGAUUAGAUACCCUUGUAGUC